AAUAACUAUCGUCUGCAAAUAACAUUUUGUUGCAAUGGUAUUCCAACUCUUUGUUUGUUUUCAUUUGCUCUGCAACAUCACAUCAUUUGCAAAAGAAUGUAAAAUCGGAUAUAUCGGAAGUAACUGCUCGAGUCCAUGCAGAUAUCCAAGUUAUGGAAAAGGUUGUCAAUUUGAAUGUUCGAAUUGCUCGAAGGAAAUGUGUGAUGCAAGAUUUGGCUGUUUGAUUCCUGAUGAAUCAAUAGACAAAGAUAAUACUACACUGAGCGAGGAUUCAAUUCAACUGAUUUAUGUGACUAUAGGAUUGAUUUCAUCCGGGUUUUUCAUUUUAUUUACUUCUGUUGCCUGUAUGUUUCUAAUUAGAGGUCGAUCGGCCAGACAUGAGAGAUCGCGGUACUAACCUGUAGAAAUAUCGUGUGAAAACUGUAUCUUUUCCGCCCAAUGGAAACAAUCUAAUAAUUUUGUAUCUAUUCGAUCUAUCUAGGAAUAAAACUGCAUAAAAAGACUG